AUCUUAUAUCGAGUAAACAAACAUAUUCUAUUAAGUCUUAUGGCUCAGUUACGGGUUUAUUCAUGCAUUGUAUACAAACUAAAAAUGAUUUUUUUUUAUAAUAUUUUUCUUCGAUAAUGUUUCUUAAAUUUGGUUCAACGCCAUGGUCGAUUCUGGUAAAGCUUCAUUCCUGUCUGGAGCAAAACGCCUCAACCAUCAAGAUGAUGAUGUCGAAGAAUGUUGAUCGCACAUUCUAGUCUCAAUCAUUUUAAAAAAAAAUGGGGGAAAUAAACAGAGAGGAGCAGAGGAGAUAUAGAAGAAGGUAGUUGUCUGAGUAUGGAGAUUCUCUGUUUCUGUUGCUGUGGUUGUGGAUGUUGUCUGAUCGAAGAACAGUGUCGGAUCCCCGGUGCUGCCAAAACCCACCAACCCUCGACUCGGGUCCUCAGUGAUGCGAAAUCCCACCAAACCCUAGACUCGAAUUCCGGGCCGGGUCGGGUCGAUGGUCUCGACACCUACGUCACUGGCACACCAAAUUCGAAGCUUGGGGAUUCUUGUCGAUUUUGAUAUUUCUGUUGGACGAGUUGCUUGCUCGUCUCUUGGUAAUGGCUAUGACGAGGAAUUUCUGUCUCUCUGUGACGAAUCUUUUCAUUGUCAACUCAUUGCUUCUAAUGGAUUUGGCUAUGAUUCUAUUGGCAAACUUCGUAUAUCGAUGAGUAGAGGUAAAUAUCUCGAGACACUUCUUAUAUUGGGAAACUAUAAUGGGAAUGGGAUUCUCUCUGCUAAACUACAGUCUAAGCCAUCACUCUGGAAAUUCUCUUAGUCGGUUUAGAAGCUUAUAUUGAUUUAGUUUUGGAUUUGUACAAGAGGCGAAGCAUAUCUUCUGUGUCUUGGACUAGGUUGUAAUAUAUUUUUCUUAAUUUCUUGCUUUCUUUUUGGAUGGAAGCCUUGGUGCACCGGUUAAGGUGUUGACGUUGUGACCACGGGUUCGAGUCUUGGAAUUAGCCUCUCGCUUUGUGCACCGGGCUGCCCUUUUGCCUUCUUGCUUUCUUUUAAACUCCUUUUGGAGAAUGAAUCAUGGAUGUUUCUUAUGCAUCAUAUCUGGGAUCAGUUUACUGGAAAAUGUUUAAUCUCCUGGGCAACUGAUCCUUCAUUCUUUACACUCUUCAGAGCUUUUUUUUUUUCCGUGAAAUUUUCAUCCACGAGUUAGUUACCGAUAGUGCGUUCAUAUAUUGAUCAAAAGCAUCGAUCAAUCUUACCCUCCAUUGCUCGGCAUCUAUAUAAGAACGCAUUAUCGUGAACUCGUGGAUGAAAGUGUCACAAGAAGAUUUAUCAUCGAGCAAGCAGGUGUUUUCCUUCAUCCUUCCUUUCUGUCUCGGUUGAAAAUAUCGAGGGGAUAUGAGCUUGGCUAAAGACAAGAUUGAAGCCAAAUGCAAAAGAAGAAACUUGUUGGAUUUGAAAGAAUCAAAGUUCAGUUUUGUAUAUGUUCUCCAUCAAAAGUGUUCGGUAAUGUAUCUCUUACCGAAAGCUCUCUAGAUCCUAUAUAUUGUAUUUGAUCUCGGUGUUAAACCUGGUGAUAUAAACUUGC